GAUGAAGAACGUAGCGAAAUGCGAUACGUAAUGUGAAUUGCAGAAUUCAGUGAAUCAUCGAAUCUUUGAACGCAUAUUGCGCUCUCUGGUAUUCCGGAGAGCAUGCUUGUUUGAGUAUCAGUAAACACCUCAACUUCCAUAUCUUUUUUGAAAUGGGAGUUGGACUUGAGUGAUCCCAACGCUUUUCCUCACCGAAAAGUGGCGGGUUACUUGAAAUGCAGGUGCAGCUGGACUUUUCUCUGAGCUAUAAGCAUAUCUAUUUAGUCUGCCUAAAAAACAGAUUAUUACCUUUGCUGCAGCUAACAUAAAGGAGAUUAGUUCUUGUGCUGACUGAUGCAGGAUUCACAGAGACAGGCUUCGGCCGACUUUGUAAACUCGAUCUCAAAUCAAGUAAGACUACCCGCUGAACUUAAGCAUAUCAAUAAGCGGAGGA
rnacentral:misc_RNA from 1 species